GUCCCCAUCGUCUAGUCUGGCCCAGGACACCGGUCUUUCAAGCCGGCAACGGGGGUUCAAAUCCCCCUGGGGAAGCUA
rnacentral:tRNA from 1 species